rnacentral:rRNA from 2 species
AGUCGAGCGGUAAGGCCCUUCGGGGUACACGAGCGGCGAACGGGUGAGUAACACGUGAGCAACCUGCCCCUGACUCCGGGAUAAGCGGUGGAAACGCCGUCUAAUACCGGAUACGACCCUCCACCUCAUGGUGGUGGGUGGAAAGUUUUUCGGUCGGGGAUGGGCUCGCGGCCUAUCAGCUUGUUGGUGGGGUAACGGCCUACCAAGGCGAUUACGGGUAGCCGGCCUGAGAGGGCGACCGGCCACACUGGGACUGAGACACGGCCCAGACUCCUGCGGGAGGCAGCAGUGGGGAAUAUUGCGCAAUGGGCGAAAGCCUGACGCAGCGACGCCGCGUGGGGGAUGACGGCCUUCGGGUUGUAAACCUCUUUUACCACUCACGCAGGCUCCACGUUUUCGUGGGGUUGACGGUAGGUGGGGAAUAAGGACCGGCUAACUACGUGCCAGCAGCCGCGGUAAUACGUAGGGUCCGAGCGUUGUCCGGAAUUAUUGGGCGUAAAGAGCUCGUAGGCGGCGUGUCGCGUCUGCUGUGAAAGACCGGGGCUUAACCCCGGUUCUGCAGUGGAUACGGGCAUGCUAGAGGUAGGUAGGGGAGACUGGAAUUCCUGGUGUAGCGGUGAAAUGCGCAGAUAUCAGGAGGAACACCGGUGGCGAAGGCGGGUCUCUGGGCCUUACCUGACGCUGAGGAGCGA